UGCCAAGGGGUGUAAACAUGUAUAUAUAGGCCCCAAAAACCUUAGAGAAUCAGGUUAGGCUAGGGAGAAUGCAAGGCAAAGAGUGUAUGUGGUGUGCAAUGGUCCAAGGGUGAAAAUGAAGUGAUGAUGCAAAGUGUGAAGGGUAAAAUGGAGUGGUCUUGUAGCUAGGCGGCAUGAAUGAUUGUGUACAUUGCAUAGAGAUGGAAAGGGAGGUGAAAAUGUGUCAAUAAAUGGGUCAAAUGUGCAGUAACAUGUGGUACACAAGGCAUGGGAUUCCAAAUGUGAAUGAUGGAGCAUCAAUUGGCACAUGUUAUGGUUGUGAAAGUUGUAUAAAAUUUUGUGGGUGAAGGGAACAAGAGGUAUCAAGCAAUUAAGU
rnacentral:lncRNA from 1 species